UACAGAGGUCUCAACCGUUGUUCGGAUUCAUUGGGCGUAAAGGGUGCGUAGGCGGUCGCGCAAGUCGGAUGUGAAAUCUUGGGGCUCAACCCCCGAAACUGCAUUCGAUACUGCGUGGCUCGAGUACUGGAGAGGAGACUGGAAUUUACGGUGUAGCAGUGAAAUGCGUAGAUAUCGUAAGGAAGACCAGUGGCGAAGGCGAGUCUCUGGACAGUUACUGACGCUGAGGCACGAAGGCCAGGGGAGCAAACGGG
rnacentral:rRNA from 1 species